AAAGUCGUAACAAGGUUUCCGUAGGUGAACCUGCGGAAGGAUCAUUAUUGAAAUCCUUUGGAUGUUGCUGGCCUUUUUUUUUGGAGGCAAGUGCACUCCGCCUUUUCAUCACACCUGUGAACUCACCGUAGGCCGGAUUUAAAUCUGUGUCUAUGUUAUUUUUACAACACACGCUGUAUCAGAAUGUCUCUUAAAUGUAUGACCUUCAAUGGUCAAAAUUUAAUACAACUUUCAACAAUGGAUCUCUUGGUUCUC
rnacentral:misc_RNA from 1 species